CCUACGGGUGGCUGCAGUGAGGAAUAUUGGGCAAUGGGGGCAACCCUGACCCAGCCAUGCCGCGUGAGUGAAGAAGGUCUUCGGAUUGUAAAGCUCUGUCGGACGUGACGAUCAUGACGGUAGCGUCUAAAGAAGCACCGGCAAACUUCUUGCCAGCAGCCACGGUAAUACGAAGGGUGCGCGCGUUGUUCGGAAUUACUGGGCGGAAGGGGAGUGUAGGCGGAUAUGUAAGAUAGCGGUGAAAGGCCGGGGCUCAACCCGGGAACUGCCAUUAUGACUAUGUAUCUAGAGUAAUGGAGAGGAUAGCGGAAUACCAAGUGUAGAGGUGAAAUUCGUAGAUAUUGGGUAGAACACCAGUGGCGAAGGCGGCUAUCUGGCCAUUUACUGACGCUGAGGCUCGAAAGCAUGGGGAGCAAACAGGAUUAGAUACCCGGGUAGUC
rnacentral:rRNA from 1 species